AAUUUUUGAUUAUUCGUCUUAUUUAAAAUUUUUUAAGACUAAUAUUUUUAUUGUUAUCACAUGAUAAAACAUAACUAGUACUUUAUGUGUGACUAUUUUUUUAACUUUUUUAUAAAUUUUUAAAUAAAACAGAUGGUCAAACGUU
rnacentral:pre_miRNA from 1 species